GUGAGCUGGGGUCCGGCAGCCAUAGCGCUUUGCAAUUCGGCCUCAGAAAGUGUAGGGCCGACUCGGAGGAAGGAAUUACGUUCAUUCCAGUCUCAGACCCUGUAAGAUUUGGAUAUGUCCUUCAUAUUCGAUUGGAUUUACAGUGGGUUCAGCAGUGUACUACAGUUUUUAGGAUUAUAUAAGAAAACCGGUAAAUUGGUAUUUCUUGGACUGGAUAAUGCGGGAAAAACAACAUUGCUACACAUGCUAAAAGAUGACAGACUUGGACAACAUGUCCCAACCUUACAUCCCACUUCAGAAGAAUUAACUAUUGCUGGUAUGACUUUUACAACUUUUGAUCUGGGUGGACAUGUUCAAGCCCGAAGAGUAUGGAAAAACUACCUUCCUGCUAUCAAUGGCAUUGUAUUUCUUGUGGAUUGUGCAGACCAUGAAAGGCUGUUAGAAUCAAAAGAAGAACUUGAUUCACUAAUGACAGAUGAAACCAUUGCUAAUGUGCCUAUACUGAUUCUUGGGAAUAAGAUUGACAGACCUGAAGCUAUCAGUGAAGAGAGGUUACGAGAAAUGUUUGGUUUAUAUGGUCAGACAACAGGAAAGGGCAAUGUAUCUCUGAAAGAACUGAAUGCCCGACCUUUAGAAGUUUUCAUGUGCAGUGUGCUCAAAAGACAAGGUUAUGGAGAAGGAUUCCGCUGGAUGGCACAGUACAUUGAUUAACAUAGACAUCAACCCGCCUCUGCUCCAGGUCUCACAUUCAGGCCUACUCAGAGAUUUGAUCACUCAACAUGCAUAACUUGAAUUCAAUAGACUUUUGUUGGAUUUAAAAUAGAUGUUUUUUAGAUUAUUAAUAUUAUAUCAACUUAAUUUGAGUGAGAAUUGAAAACUGAUUCAAAAUUGUCAUUAUCAAGUAUAAAGAUUCAUGUCAGAAUGGCCAACUUCACAUGAGUAUCUGUAUUCCCUGGUGCUGCUCCUAACCUGAACUCAUAAUCAGUUGCCAUACUAAAGCAAGAGCACUCAGGUGAAUGUGGUCAAGUUACUUUAAAAUUCAUAAAAAGUAUUUGGCUGAAUGCAAAAUAUGUUGAGGUGGUAAGUCGGUGAUCAAUUGUUUAUCACUAACUUUGUUUGCACUUUCACAGAACACUGCUUGCACUAGGAUCUUAGUGUGAAUUAUAACAAUUGUUUUACAGUAUAUACAGAUUGUUAAGCAUAAUUUAUAUGAAGAUGUUUCUGUUUACUUUUGUGUAUUUUACAAAGAACAACUAUAAUAGAUGGUUAAAUGUUUUUGAAUUGUGUUUGUAUGUUAUUUUGAUUUUGUUCUGUUAUCUUUUCACUUCCUAUGAAUUUGAGUGUGUCAGGAAUAGAGAAAUAAAAUGCUAACCUGGUUGUCAAAUAA